rnacentral:misc_RNA from 1 species
GAUGAAGAACGUAGCGAAAUGCGAUAAGUAAUGUGAAUUGCAGAAUUCAGUGAAUCAUCGAAUCUUUGAACGCACAUUGCGCCCCUUGGUAUUCCGAGGGGCAUGCCUGUUCGAGCGUCAUUAUAACCCCUCAAGCUCAGCUUGGUGUUGGGGCCUGCUGCACUGGCAGCCCUUAAAAUCAGUGGCGGCGCCAUCUGGCUCUAAGCGUAGUAAUUCUUCUCGCUAUGGAGUCCUGGUGGAUGCUUGCCAUCAACCCCCAAUUUUUCUAUGGUUGACCGCGGAUCAGGUAGGGAUACCCGCUGAACUUAAGCAUAUCAAUAAGCGGAGGA